rnacentral:lncRNA from 1 species
CUGUGCAGAGAAUCUAAAAUCUAAUUGUUAAAUGUUGACAUUCUAAACAGAAAACUGAAAAGGAGAACAGGCAACAGAUGAAAUAUGAAGAGAAAGAUUUUUAACACAGACAAUUGAAACAAGGACAGCAGUGAACUUAGGAACAGAGAACAGAGUGAGCAGGAAUAAAAAGAGUCUUUUGCAGAAAGUCCGUUUGGACAGAAGCAUCUACAUAUCAGCCUGCUGGUACAUCAGGGCUGGGCAGAUCCCUGAGGAAAACAACAACUCUUGUUGUAGGUACUUGAGAGCAGUCAUUAUCACCAUUGCCAAUUAAUUCAUCAAUCAGUGUUUACCAAGCUGCCACAGGGACCAGCACAGAGCCCUGCUGAGCAAAGGAAGGAUGAAGGAGGCUGUGUGAAGACAGAGCAGCUGCAAGCAAGAGCCAAGAACUCUCUUUCCAGGACAAGUAUUAGUAUGAGAUUUGGCCCUGCUGGAGUUACUCUGCUGCAUGAGGGGGAAAGAAGGUUUCAGGAGGGAAAUGAAAGCAGGAGGAAAUAA